rnacentral:lncRNA from 1 species
ACAGCUUUACGGCUUGCUACUAUUUUAUUUCCCUCAGGUAAUCAAAAAAAUUAAACUUAUUGUGGUUAUUUAAUAGACUCUGAUGGAUCUGGUAACAAACCAUCUACUAUAUGUUAGGAUGAACAACAGUUAGUAGGACCAUAAAUAAUUUGAAUGUAUACUAAUGCUUGUUAACCCAGAUCUUUAAUAUAUUAGAUUACUUUCUUAAAUUCUAAGGAUGUCAAGUGUAAUAAGAAUAGA